rnacentral:lncRNA from 1 species
GGAACAGGCUUCUAAAUUGCUCAAGAGACGGUGAAAGAUAGGAAAGCUGAGGCAGUAAGGAUAUCACAAAGGAAAACUAUGGGGUCAAAGCAUGAAGAAGAACAGAAGGAUUUGCAGAGGGGAAACAGAUGUUUACUGUUCAUUUCAUAAUCACAAGGCUGGAUGAAUGUGGAACAACAAAUCAUAGCUUCCAAAACACAACUGCAUCAAAACCACCCCAAAGAUCCCAGGCUUUUUCCUGUUU